AGGAAGCGAAUGCCCCACAGCUGGAGGAACUCCUAUUUUAUUUUGAAACCCAAUUUUCUCCUUGGGGUUCACAUAGACUUUCGAGAGAGGCUAUUGACUCAGUAGGCACUGCCAAGUCUGAGUCCCUCCUCUGAAGACCAAGCCACGCAUUUGACAGGACGUCCGUGGGUACCACCCGUGGGGUGCCACCCGUGGGGACGGACAGGUACAAAGAGUCCCUGCAUGGAGAACCUGUGAUUACUGCCCAGAAACGAAAGAAGAGAUUCCAGGAUGAACUACCAGGGGAAGAGUCCACAGGUCCCCCCGAUGGGCCUUUUGCACCCUAAGCUGCUCAGGUUUCCAGAGGCUCUGGUGGCAUCUUCCAACCUCAAUGCUUUUCACCAAACCCCCAAACCUCCCCCCUGCCCCUCUCAGUGAGGACCAGCAGCCUUCUAUCAUCUCUGGAAAUAUGGAAGCUUCUGGAAAAGGUCACCUGGUCUCCAACUUAUAGAUUGGGAUCUCCUCACCUCCAUUACCACAGGAGCCAGCACUCAUAAUAAUAGACUCCUGUAUGUCUCUGUCCUGUGGCUCUGCUUCUUUGGAAAGAUCAACUCACACAGACAUUCUGGGCACAGCACACUAGCUUGGUGCUGGACACUCAUAGGGUUGCCAACCCUGCCUCUCCAACUCCGAGACCUUGGAUACUGACUGCCUCUCUCAGGCAAAUGAAUGGCUAUUUCACAGAGGAUGACAGAGAGAAGUCUAGAGCAUCCAGUUUUCAGGAGACAUUGGCGAGGCAGCUGACAUGUGCUAUACAAUUGGAGAAUGUGUGAAAGAAAUGAAGCUACACCUCUUUUAAUGUACUGUCAUCUGCAAUGCGACCUCUCACCACGGAACUCAGACGGAUAUGCAGGUACACUGUGGGGGCCCCGGCAAGAAACCCCAACGAAUACUGCCUGCUAAGAACCACCAUGUGAGAGUUUGUUCACAUCUUUAAUUUUUAAAAACGAGUUAGCAGACAAU